GAUGAAGAACGCAGCGAAAUGCGAUAAGUAGUGUGAAUUGCAGAAUUCAGUGAAUCAUCGAAUCUUUGAACGCACAUUGCGCCCCUUGGUAUUCCGAGGGGCAUGCCUGUUCGAGCGUCAUUAUAACCCCUCAAGCUCAGCUUGGUGUUGGGGCCUGCUGCACUGGCAGCCCUUAAAAUCAGUGGCGGCGCCAUCUGGCUCUAAGCGUAGUAAUUCUUCUCGCUAUGGAGUCCUGGUGGAUGCUUGCCAUCAACCCCCAAUUUUUAUAUGGUUGACCUCGGAUCAGGUAGGGAUACCCGCUGAACUUAAGCAUAUCAAUAAGCGGAGGA
rnacentral:misc_RNA from 1 species